rnacentral:rRNA from 1 species
AAGCCAGUGGUGGACUCCACAUACGCAUCCUUUGCUGAAGGCAAUGGUUAACGGAGCGAAAGCGACGUUCAACCGCAAAAGAAGCAGAGGGGGCUUAGUGGUGGGGUGACUGCGUACCUUUUGUAUAAUGGGUCAGCGACUUAUAUUCUGUAGCAAGGUUAACCGUAUAGGGGAGCCGCAGGGAAACCGAGUCUUAACCGGGCGUUAAGUUGCAGGGUAUAGACCCGAAACCCGGUGAUCUAGCCAUGGGCAGGUUGAAGGUUGGGUAACACUAACUGGAGGACCGAACCGACUAAUGUUGAAAAAUUAGCGGAUGACCUGUGGCUGGGGGUGAAAGGCCAAUCAAACCGGGAGAUAGCUGGUUCUCCCCGAAAGCUAUUUAGGUAGCGCCUCGUGAACUCAUCUCCGGGGGUAGAGCACUGUUUCGGCUAGGGGGCCAUCCCGGCUUACCAACCCGAUGCAAACUGCGAAUACCGGAGAAUGUUAUCACGGGAGACACACGGCGGGUGCUAACGUCCGUCGUGAAGAGGGAAACAACCCAGACCGCCAGCUAAGGUCCCAAAGUCAUGGUUAAGUGGGAAACGAUGUGGGAAGGCCCAGACAGCCAGGAUGUUGGCUUAGAAGCAGCCAUCAUUUAAAGAAAGCGUAAUAGCUCACUGGUCGAGUCGGCCUGCGCGGAAGAUGUAACGGGGCUAAACCAUGCACCGAAGCUGCGGCAGCGAACGUAUCACCCAAGACAACUUUACGGAGUUGACGAUUGACGGAGCGAAGCGACGUCAAAGCGUUCA